UACGGGGGGGGCAAGCGUUGUUCGGAAUUACUGGGCGUAAAGGGCUCGUAGGCGGCCAACUAAGUCGGAUGUGAAAUCCCCAGGCUUAACCUGGGAACUGCAUCCGAUACUGGAUGGCUUGAAUCCGGGAGAGGGAUGCAGAAUUCCAGGUGUAGCGGUGAAACGCGUAGAUAUCUGGAGGAAUACCGGUGGCGAAGGCGGCAUCCUGGACCGGCAUUGACGCUGAUGAGCGAAAGCUAGGGGAGCAAACGGG
rnacentral:rRNA from 1 species